AGUUUGGAAUAAGAUCUGCAGUGUUGAAUGCUGAGUUGCCACAGAAUUCUCGAUUACAUAUUAUUGAGGCAUUCAAUGCUAGGCUAUUUGAUUAUCUAAUAGCAACGGAUGACAAUAAACCAAAGGAGGAGAAGCAAGCGAAUAAGGAAACAAGAAAGAGUCAAGGGUUCCCCGCAAACAUUUGCAACAGACUUUAGAUGCCGAGUUCGGAGUUGUCAGAGGAAUUGACUUAAAAAAUGUACUUACAGUAGUUAAUUUUGACAUGCAUCCAGAUCCUGCUGGAUAUGUUCACAGAAUAGGACGAACAGGGAGAGCAAAUGAGACUGGUGCAUCCAUAUCGCUUGUUUCGCCAGAGGAGAAUGAUACUUUUGAAGACAUUGAGAAUAUGUUGCAUGAUGUUGAAAAGAAAGAUACCAACUGCAUUUCACCUUUCCCAUUACUUACAAAAAAAUGCCGUUGAGUCUCUACGAUAUAGGGCUCAGGUUGAAGUCUCAUUUUGAAGAGAAUCCAAGAGACCUGGAUAUGCUCAAACACGAUAAGUUGCUAAGCAACAAAGCAAUUCCUGUACACCUGCGUGAUGUCCCUGAGUACCUAAUUGAUCCCAAAACAAAAGAAGCCAGCAAUGUUGUCAAACUUACCAGGGCUGCUAUGUGUAUUGACAAGCCCCAAAGGCGGAAAAAGACAGGGAUUCAAGGGAGGAUCAGGCAAAAGUAGAGACCCCCUUAAAACUCUCUGCUGAGGGCAAAUCACGGAGACGAGGGAGGAAAGACAGAGGGGGGAGAACCAGAUAGAAGAAAGAGGAAGGUGGAAAGCUAAUUUCUUGCAAGGAGUUUACCAUCCGGUUCGCUCAGUUUUGCAGGCUUCCUGUUUUACUCUAUAUUAGAUGUACUAUCUAGAGAGACGGGUUCUUUAAACAACGGCAAGCUUUAUGGAAGUCAAUGUUUUUUUGUGUGUGUAACACUAUAGCGGCUAUGAAGUGUAGAAUCUGUUCAUUUUCUGAUGGAAAGUCUUAAUUCUUUCA